CUUGUUUUUUUCAAUUAUUCAUUUUUAAAAUAUCAUAUCAUUAUAGAAAAUAUAGUUUACGUCUCCAAAGAAAAGAUGAGGCUCUAUCAGACUAAACGGAAUAAGACGGAUAGAGGAACGAAUCACACAAAUUUCGUCGGUGGGUCGUCUGGAACACCACCCCGUACAGACGAUAUCCACUUUCAGCGAUCUCUACAUGAAAUGGGAAAUAGCAUAAUACAUAUUUGGGCUACUCUACUCCUAUCAUUUUUUUCCGACAACCCAAUCUUAAAUGUCACACGGAACAUCCGAACAUACGGUGCAAGUAGCCAUGACAAUAGCAAUUUUUUUUAGCCUAAGCAUAAGACCUAAAGCUCAAAUUUUCAUUUUUUUGGACUCCAUGCUUGGGUCUAAUUACUUGCCUAUUCCGAGAGUCAGCCUUAUAAUACUUGUAAUUCUAAUAAUGAUAUGCUUUUUUAUGUGUUGUUAUUAGUUUUCAAAUAAAAUAUCAUAUACCUAUCAUCUAAUUUGAUAAAUCUAUUAUAAUUGUACAUAGUUUGUUAUGAAAUUUAUACGAUAUGUAUAUAUUUUUGAUGCUGGCCCUAUUAUUGUUUGAAA